rnacentral:rRNA from 1 species
CUACGGGAGGCUCCAGUGAGGAAUAUUGGACAAUGGGGGAAACCCUGAUCCAGCCAUGCCGCGUGAGUGAAGAAGGCCCUAGGGUUGUAAAGCUCUUUCAAUAGUGAAGAUAAUGACGGUAGCUAUAGAAGAAGCCCCGGCUAAAUUCGUGCCAGCAGCCGCGGUAAUACGAAUGGGGCAAGCGUUGUUCGGAAUCACUGGGCUUAAAGCGUAUGCAGGCGGACUUGAAAGUCAGAAGUGAAAUCCCGGGGCUCAACCCCGGAACUGCUUUUGAAACUCCGAGUCUAGAAUCCUGGAGAGGUCGGGAGAAUUCCUAGUGUAGAGGUGAAAUUCGCAGAUAUUAGGAGGAAUACCAGUGGCGUAGGCGCCCGACUGGACAGGUAUUGACGCUCAGAUACGAAAGCGUGGGGAUCAAACAGGAUUAGAUACCCUAGUAGUC